UACGGGGGGGGCAAGCGUUGUUCGGAAUUACUGGGCGUACAGGGCUCGUAGGCGGCCAACUAAGUCGGACGUGAAAUCCCCCGGCUUAACCUGGGAACUGCGUCUGAUACUGGAAGGCUUGAGUAUGGGAGAGGGAUGUAGAAUUCCAGGUGUAGCGGUGAAAUGCGUAGAUAUCUGGAGGAAUACCGGUGGCGAAGGCGGCAUCCUGGACCAUUACUGACGCUGAGGCGCGAAAGCUAGGGGAGCAAACGGG
rnacentral:rRNA from 1 species